GGGGGUGUGGCUCAGUGGUGGAGCACUUGCCUAUUAUGCAUGAGGUCCUGGGUUCCGUCCCCAGCACCCA
rnacentral:tRNA from 1 species